UCAUUUCAUGAUAUUUUACUUUCAAAAGUGAAACAUAAUCACUUUUGGGACCCAUUCAAGUCCCAAAAAGGACCGAGGAACUCACUGGAGGUGCUCCCUGGAUUUCAAACAGAGUACAAUGUAGUCAAUGUAGGGGAGAAGAUCACAGAGAGCUCUUCUCAGAUUGCUCAGAGUCAGCCCCAGGACCCUGUCCUGACUGAAGGAGACAAAGUGGUCAAACAGGAGACGAAGAAACAGUGGUUUCACACUUUGCUCAAGUGUGUGAUACCGUGUGUGUACAACAGAAAUGACCAAAGGAACCAGAGACUCCUCAGAAGAGAACAAGAAUAUGAUCAAAUGACUGAUGAAAAAAAAGCACCAGGAGAAAUCCAUUGAAUAUGCACAAUCUCAAAGAGUAUGGGUUUGUGCUAAUAGUUCCACUGCUAUAGUGAAUGUAUGUCUAUGUUUAAGUGAAAUGUUUGAUUACUUUGACAAGAUAUGGCUCAAUUGAGUGUGAAAGGGAACAAAAGAGGAAAUAAAGUGUCUACAGAAAGCGUACACCCCCUUGAACUUUGUGUACACUUUGUUGUGCCAGUGCCUGAGAUUCAUGCACUUAAAUGAGUAAUGUUUUUCUUUUACCUACACCUCAUACUCUACACUUUUAAUGGAAGAAAAUGAAAUGUCAGAGUUGGAUAAAACCUCACAGAUGUGAAUUAAUACUGAUUCUACCAAGUAACUUGUUUUGACAGCAAUCUUAAGUACGAACUUAAUACUGAGCGUGGAGGUGCAGGUGAAGAGCCCUUAAGUAGUGGGUGGUGGGGAGGUGUGAUGCAGGACUGGGGACGUGGUUGGAUAAUUAGGAUGUGCGUUGGCGUCUGUGGGAAGAAGCAGGGCCCUGUGUCUGAUUAGUGGAGGCUGUGACACAAUGUUAAUGUUAAUCAAUUCAUCUUCUUCUUGUUACUACUUAUGAAGUUUGGGGACAUGAGAGUGACAGAAUUCCAUGUCCCAUCAUGUGCCCUGUGAUUCCAGGAUAAAUUCUGGAUUUCUGUGAGUCUUACCAGGAAAAACAGUUUUUGUGAUCAAAGAUGGAUUUCUGAAACUGGUUAAAACCACUUGUAGAUUCUUGACUGCAAAACUACAGCAUAUAUAUACUGUAAGUAUACUGAGCUGGGGAUUUUCUCUGGCAUCAGUUUGUAUAAGACUUGUCCACAUCUGAGGUACAGACGUGUUAUCAGCCUACAGUUUGACUUACAGGCAGUACAGGGCAUUUUAUUCCAAUAAUAUGACAGUGAAGAAUUAUGCUUUGUGUUAAGUCAGGAAUUGUCUACUGAAUUCAGUUUAAUUGUAAGAGAGAUCCUUCAGGUACUAAGCUGAGGUUCAGGAUACAUUUGUGCUGUGGUUGAAAAGGCACUUAUUGUUUCCAUUGCAAUAAGGUUAAGAGCAUGGAAUUUCCUAAUUGAACUCACAGGAUUGUGACCCAAUGGCUGUCAGGGUACUUUUGAACUUAAGACUUUCACUGGCUGAAAAAAAGCUGAAAGCAUUGCUAAAGAUGCAAAUGUACUUCUGCCUAAGCCUUUUUGUAUUGCAUUUUCCUUAAGUGGUGAACAGGAUACAAACCAUGUUUGAAAUAAGGCUGAAGCAGCCUGACAUCUUCCUCACCUUCCUGUGACUAGAAAAACUCACUGCAGUGCUUCGCAUUCUCCUCAUUUGCAGAACCGACGCUGUUUCUGUGUCUCCACUUCAUUGGGGGAAAGAAAGCUGCCUUUUGUAAAAAACACAAAUCAUGAACUCCUCCAGAAUGAUUAUAUCAUUGCUGAAAAGCUUUUAUCCUUUGUUCAGGCAGAAAUAUUUCAGAUGCACUCCAUUUAGCAAAACUGUUUCCUUACAUGUAACUGUUUGCUAACCUGAUAACUGCAUAUUAUGUGUACAACAGUUCAGUAGCUACGACUUCCUCUUUAUAUUUUAGUUCUUAAAGGCUGAAAAUGUGUAAAGCAUUGUAAUAGCUUGGUCAGCUAACAGUGUCCAUAUAGUACACUGAAUGGGCUAUAACAUAAAGGCACUGUGAACCUGAAAGCCUUUCACUGUCGGAUGAAUUUCUCUUUGUUUAACGUCUUGUAAUCCUCAACAUCAGGGAAGCAUACUUCAGCUCAGCUCGUGUACAGCACAGUCAUUAAUGGUUAUUGUGCUGAUAAUCAUAUUCUCCAGUGCACCUCAAAUAAAUUGGCUUUAAACUCACCAGGGCUAGUACACUGAAGAGAAUCUGAUGGCUUCAGGAGUGAGGUUAUUUAUAGAAUGUGUACCGUCAGCCUGCUAGCAUAACAGAAGGUGCACUGAAUAUUGAGCAGGGAAACCGAAUGACCACCAACAGACACCUGAGGUUUUUUCAAAGAUAGAUAAUAAUGAAGUACAAUAAAUGUAUCUGUAUGUGAGAACAAUGUUUCACACUAGGGAAUUUUUACCUUUAUAGACAUCUUAGACACACAUGCUUGUAGACACCAGCGCUCUUUCUGCACAAGGUGGGUUCAAAUUUUAACAGGGCAGUCCUUGUGUGCACCUGAAUUGAUCACGUCCUUAACAGAAGUUUGAGACAACAAAUUAUAACAGUAAAAAAGACACAGACUGGUCACUUUUUGUCUUUGUUUUCUUUUUCUUAACUAUGGUUGUUUGACACAAUAAUGUUCUCUGACACAAAGUAAGCUCAGCUUAAAAUCAAGAUGUUUAUAAAAACAAAACUUUUCUUUUGCUUUCCCAUUCCUUGAAUCAUUUUUCUUCUAGAUCAGUAAACAGAUUUAAACUUUAACCACUUCCUAAAUAAAUAAGGCAAGCAACUAUGGAUGCUCUUUGGCUUCCAAAUGCCAUGAAGCCAUCGUGAAAUCAUUGCCAGUAGAGGUACAGUAUUGUAAUAACAGUGCACCAAAAACAAAAUAUUAAGGGUUUUUGAGACAUUUCAUGGGACUGAGAUACAGUGUAAUACAUUUUUAUGCUUUAUAAUACAUUCAUACAAUUACC
rnacentral:lncRNA from 1 species